rnacentral:rRNA from 1 species
AGACCCGAAACCCGGUGAUCUAGCCAUGGGCAGGUUGAAGGUUGGGUAACACUAACUGGAGGACCGAACCGACUAAUGUUGAAAAAUUAGCGGAUGACCUGUGGCUGGGGGUGAAAGGCCAAUCAAACCGGGAGAUAGCUGGUUCUCCCCGAAAGCUAUUUAGGUAGCGCCUCGUGAAUUCAUCUCCGGGGGUAGAGCACUGUUUCGGCUAGGGGGCCAUCCCGGCUUACCAACCCGAUGCAAACUGCGAAUACCGGAGAAUGUUAUCACGGGAGACACACGGCGGGUGCUAACGUCCGUCGUGAAGAGGGAAACAACCCAGACCGCCAGCUAAGGUCCCAAAGUCAUGGUUAAGUGGGAAACGAUGUGGGAAGGCCCAGACAGCCAGGAUGUUGGCUUAGAAGCAGCCAUCAUUUAAAGAAAGCGUAAUAGCUCACUGGUCGAGUCGGCCUGCGCGGAAGAUGUAACGGGGCUAAACCAUGCACCGAAGCUGCGGCAGCGACACUGUGUGUUGUUGGGUAGGGGAGCGUUCUGUAAGCCUGUGAAGGUGUGUCGUGAGGCAUGCUGGAGGUAUCAGAAGUGCGAAUGCUGACAUAAGUAACGAUAAAGCGGGUGAAAAGCCCGCUCGCCGGAAGACCAAGGGUUCCUGUCCAACGUUAAUCGGGGCAGGGUGAGUCGACCCCUAAGGCGAGGCCGAAAGGCGUAGUCGAUGGGAAACGGGUUAAUAUUCCCGUACUUGGUGUUACUGCGAAGGGGGGACGGAGAAGGCUAUGUUGGCCGGGCGACGGUUGUCCCGGUUUAAGCGUGUAGGUGUGUGUUCCAGGUAAAUCCGGUUCACUUUAACACUGAGGCGUGACGACGAGGCACUACGGUGCUGAAGCAACAAAUGCCCUGCUUCCAGGAAAAGCCUCUAAGCAUCAGGUAACAUCAAAUCGUACCCCAAACCGACACAGGUGGUCAGGUAGAGAAUACCAAGGCGCUUGAGAGAACUCGGGUGAAGGAACUAGGCAAAAUGGUGCCGUAACUUCGGGAGAAGGCACGCUGACACGUAGGUGAAGUGAUUUACUCAUGGAGCUGAAGUCAGUCGAAGAUACCAGCUGGCUGCAACUGUUUAUUAAAAACACAGCACUGUGCAAACACGAAAGUGGACGUAUACGGUGUGACGCCUGCCCGGUGCCGGAAGGUUAAUUGAUGGGGUCAGCGCAAGCGAAGCUCCUGAUCGAAGCCCCGGUAAACGGCGGCCGUAACUAUAACGGUCCUAAGGUAGCGAAAUUCCUUGUCGGGUAAGUUCCGACCUGCACGAAUGGCGUAAUGAUGGCCAGGCUGUCUCCACCCGAGACUCAGUGAAAUUGAACUCGCUGUGAAGAUGCAGUGUACCCGCGGCAAGACGGAAAGACCCCGUGAACCUUUACUAUAGCUUGACACUGAACAUUGAGCCUUGAUGUGUAGGAUAGGUGGGAGGCUUUGAAGUGUGGACGCCAGUCUGCAUGGAGCCGACCUUGAAAUACCACCCUUUAAUGUUUGAUGUUCUAACGUGGACCCGUUACCCGGGUUGCGGACAGUGUCUGGUGGGUAGUUUGACUGGGGCGGUCUCCUCCUAAAGAGUAACGGAGGAGCACGAAGGUUGGCUAAUCCUGGUCGGACAUCAGGAGGUUAGUGCAAUGGCAUAAGCCAGCUUGACUGCGAGCGUGACGGCGCGAGCAGGUGCGAAAGCAGGUCAUAGUGAUCCGGUGGUUCUGAAUGGAAGGGCCAUCGCUCAACGGAUAAAAGGUACUCCGGGGAUAACAGGCUGAUACCGCCCAAGAGUUCAUAUCGACGGCGGUGUUUGGCACCUCGAUGUCGGCUCAUCACAUCCUGGGGCUGAAGUAGGUCCCAAGGGUAUGGCUGUUCGCCAUUUAAAGUGGUACGCGAGCUGGGUUUAGAACGUCGUGAGACAGUUCGGUCCCUAUCUGCCGUGG